rnacentral:rRNA from 28 species
UUGACCUCGGAUCAGGUAGGGAUACCCGCUGAACUUAAGCAUAUCAAUAAGCG